rnacentral:rRNA from 1 species
UACAGAGGGGAGCAAGCGUUAUUCGGAAUUUAUUGGGCGUAAAGGGGCGCGAGUAGGCGGUCGUGCAAGUGGAAGGUGAAAUCCCUCGGCUCAACCGGAGGAACCUGGCCUUUCAAACUGCUUGACUUGAGUCCGGGAGAGGUGAGUGGAAUUCCCAGUGAUCGAGCGGUGGAAAUGACGUAGAUAUUGGGUGAGGAACACCAGUGGCGA